UAAAGAUUUUGGCGGUAUUUUAGUCUAUUCAGAGGAAUCUGUCCUAUAAUUGAUAAUCCACGAUUUAAUUUACUUUUAGAAAAAAUUUAUAUAUCGUCGUAGUUUGAAUAUUUUAAAAGAAUUUUAAUGUUCAAAAUUUUUUUAUAAAAUUAAAUCAGAUCAAGGUGUAGUUUAUAUAAAAGAAGAGAUGGAUUACAUUAAAUUUAUUUAAAGAUUAAUUUUUGUAAAAUUUUAUGAAUAUGGAUUUGAUAGUAAUUUUUUUAAAAUUUUAAAAAUGAUUUAAGCUCCAAAAUAUGUACACAUC
rnacentral:rRNA from 1 species